AACAUCAUUAACUCUUCGGAAGAGAUCUGCAGGAUGGCCUCUCUCUAGCUAACACCUAUGAGCCCUCUCAAUGCUGAGUGGAAAUUGCAGAUCAAGCUGCCAUUUCCUAGAAGAUAUCGUCACAGGAAGAGAAACUGACGUGGGUGACAAGUGGCUUCUCCACCAGCCCUUCCUCCUCACGGAUCCCACCUCUGUCACGCCUCGCAGCAUGGCGCUGUUAACAAGACGCUGUGAGUUCUGGGUCUAAACCCACGGCGUCCAUGAUUUCGUAAAGAUGAGAAGUCGUGCCUUGAAGAGAACCCGUGACCCAGGCGACAGGGUAUGACGGAUCCGAGGAGCUGCGGUGACGCAGGACGUCCCCCCCAGGCCGGGGUCCUUCACCUCCAGCACGUGUCCUGCUCUGUGAUCUCCCGCCCUGGCAUCUUUCCGAGCUCCGCCCCGGACACGGAGCGGACUCACAUCCCACCUGCAGAGUUCAGUGUCAGGACGCCUCCCUGCGAGAGCUCUUCCUUCCCCGUGGACAGCGGAGGACAGGUCUGCACACACACGUCUUCGUUCUGUUUGUUUUCGAGGUGUUACUCUAGCAGCCGGCUCUACUCUCCUAUACGCGGGUAACAUGCAGAUGCGAGACACAAGGACACCGUUGCAUCAGACUCACAAAGAAACUGACUCCCAGCAGGGCCAUCAGCCCGUCGUCGAGUGCCACGCUGAGCAGCGAGGAGGCUGGCAUCUCUCUUGGUGGGAAAUAGGGAAAAACCAGCUGACGAUAUUCUGCUAAGUAGGAAAAGCGGAGAACAAAAUAAUCCAGCACAAUGACAAUUUUAUUCAUACAGGAAGAAGGACAACAUUUGGAGAAGAAAAUGCGCACUAUGCCUGAGUAAUUACAUCUCAGGAGAAUAAUAAUCUGGAGCUGUUUAUUCUUUCAAAAUGCGUCUCUGCAUUUUCUUUUAGCAUUUUAUUUAUUUAUCUGAUACAGAGAGAGAUGGAGAGGACGCAAGC